rnacentral:rRNA from 1 species
GACGAACGCUGGCGGCGUGCUUAACACAUGCAAGUCGAACGGUAAGGCCCCUUCGGGGGUACACGAGUGGCGAACGGGUGAGUAACACGUGGGUAAUCUGCCCUGCACUUCGGGAUAAGCCUGGGAAACUGGGUCUAAUACCGGAUAUGAGCUCCUGCCGCAUGGUGAGGGUUGGAAAGUUUUUCGGUGCAGGAUGAGUCCGCGGCCUAUCAGCUUGUUGGUGGGGUAAUGGCCUACCAAGGCGACGACGGGUAGCCGGCCUGAGAGGGUGAUCGGCCACACUGGGACUGAGACACGGCCCAGACUCCUACGGGAGGCAGCAGUGGGGAAUAUUGCACAAUGGGCGAAAGCCUGAUGCAGCGACGCCGCGUGGGGGAUGACGGUCUUCGGAUUGUAAACCCCUUUCAGUAGGGACGAAGCGCAAGUGACGGUACCUGCAGAAGAAGCACCGGCCAACUACGUGCCAGCAGCCGCGGUAAU